rnacentral:rRNA from 2 species
GAAUCCGCYAAGGAGUGUGUAACAACUCACCUGCCGAAUGAAUUAGCCCUGAAAAUGGAUGGCGCUCAAGCGGGAAGCCGACACCAUACCGUCUGAGCAAAGUGGUUUUUUCAGAUGAGUAGGAGGGCGUGGCGGUUGUAUCGAAGCGUACGUGCAAACGUACGUGGAACGGCCUCCAGUGCAGAUCUUGGUGUUAGUAGCAAAUAUUCAAAUGGGAACCUUGAAGAGCGAAGCGGGGAAGGGUUCCACGCGAACAUUGAUUGAGCGUGGGUGAGUCGUUCCUAAACCGCGUGGUAAUUGCUAAUUACUGGUGAAAGGGAAGCAGGUUGACAUUCCUGCACACGGAUGUGGAUGCGGUGACGCACCAUCAGGGACAAUAACGCCGGCGAGGGAUCUGGGCAGAGUUUUCUUUUCUGUUUAACCGUUCCCUGGUACUCUGUGGAAUCCGCUUGUCGGGAGAAACAGGUACAGAUGGGCAGAGCGCCGGGGCUUUUCCGGCGUCCAGAUCUCCUUCGACGGCCCUUGAAACACUGUCUGCUGGCAAAUUGGACGUCAGUCCUUUUUGUGGGAAAAAUUCCACGCCGUAACGUACCCAUAACCGCAUCAGGUCCCCAAGGUGAACAGCCUCUGCUCAAUAUGAAAAAUGCAGGUAAGGGAAGUCGGCA